CGCGUCACACGCUCUUCGCGCCGGAAUAUUUUAUCAAGCUCGUGCGCGGUGAAGAGAAGCGACCGUUAUUAAUCCAGCGCGGCUCGCGCAUCCAGCGGGAACACGCUGUCGCGCUCCCAGGCGACGCGGCCGUUUAAAUGUCACUUAAACUCACCAUUUUCUGCGACGAAGGCGCCCACGGACGGAUCAAUACUGAUGACAUCAUCAGCAAAAGCCUGCAGGCUGACACUUUUCCACCAAUCGAUCGUUUGGCCACAGAGAUGCCUGCCAAAUCGCCUGGGAAAGCUCUGCUGCCACAGCAACAGCUCCAACAGGAAGUGAGUGGAGUCAUCAUCAGAAAAAGUGUCAGUGGUCACUAAGGAGGCGGCGUUCCCAUUUUAACUCUUUUGGGAAUAUCACAACGUCUGGAUUUCUAUUUAAAGAACCUACUUUAGAGAUCAGGCUCCUGCGAUGUUAGACGCGAACGAUGCCAGAGACUCUUAAUCAUCAACAUGUGAGUCAUCCUGCUCCUCAAAGACAAGACCUGAAAGUAAAUGUUAAGUAGCUUUUAAACAUGUCAGAAUGUGUUCUAGGCAGCGAGCACAAGCAUCUGAAUUUGUCUCAUGAACAGCAAACAGACUGGCAUGAUUGGCGUUUGGUACAAACGUUGCUAGUCAAGUCAGACACUCUGACAAGCAACUGACCUCCCUGAAAUGUUCAACACUGCCAGAAUUGGGAAAAAGAAAUGUUGCACAAGGCUGCUGCAACAACCACAAAAUCUUUCAGACGGGGUGAAGCUUUUCUGUCUUCAAAUAAGUAUGUCUUUAUUGUUGAUAGGAAAUCAAACUCCAACACCAACUUCUAGAGGGAAAAGACAGAAUAAACAUUUAUAAUAAUGCAAUUGGCAGACAAUUUUAUCCACUUAGACUGCAUUCAAAGAACAUAUUUACAUUUUAUCAAUGCUUGCUUUUCCUAGAAAUUAAAUCUGCGACCUUGGAAUUGCUAGCGCUAUGUUUGAGCUGGAAAGCUUGAGCUGAAUGUUGUGCUUACAAGUCAUUAAAGAAAAGUGUUUAUUGAUAAAUUUUGCCCACUAGUUGCAACUGCAUAGAAAAUUGAAUUAGAUGUGAAGCAACUAAUUCGCUUUGCAUAAUGAAUGAAUUAUGAGCACCUCAAAACAAAUGGAUGGCUAUAUGUCUGAAAGAAAAACAAUUAGAACAUAUUUAUUAUAUUCAAACAUAUUAUAUUUGUAAAAUAAACAAAUUAAAUACAUUUAAAAUAUAUAUAUAUAAUAACCUUUAGUGGAAAAAAUUUAAUUCUUCAUCAUUGCAGAAAUUGUCUAGAAAGUGUCAAAUCUUAGUGGUCAAAUAGUUUUGCUCACAGUUUUGAUGUGAAUACGUCAAACACCGUUCUAAGUCUAAAUAUCUUAAUGCAUCUAGAGUUAAAAUUUAUUUCGAUGGCCCACUUUAGACAUUCUACUAACAGUAAGUAACUUUGCACCUACAUGUCAACUAUCAGUCAUUAGAGUAUUAGUAAACUGUCUGCUUAAUGACUUCUAACACUUUAUUUUGAUGGGUCCACAAUAUACAGUACAUACUGACUAUUAGAAACUUUGCAGAUAUAUGUCAACUUAUUUUACUAACCCUAAGCCUACACUAACUGUCCACUCUGAGAGCUAGUAGACAUGUAGUAGAAAUGAAUGAAAAUUAGUUGACAUGUAGUUGACGUGUAGUUACAAAGCUACAUGUAGUUAAGCAGAAUGUCAAAAGUGGACUAUCAAAAUAAAGGUCUAGCCAAAUAUUUUGCAUACCCAGUGAUACCAAAAUUCUAUGCAAAAUUCUAAUUCUAUUAGUCUUCAUCAGAAAUGAACGAUUACUGGUCUGCCGUUUAUCCGAGAUAGUGAAAAGCAUAGAUAGCAAGAUACAGAGUUGUGUUUUGCGAGCAGGUGUAGAAGUGAGGAGAUUGUUAUCUUGCUGGCGUGGACAAUAAAAUGGGCAAAUGACUAUAAAUUUGCACUGAAGGAGGGACUAGAGACUAGAAUAUGAUGCCCUUCUGACCUAAGCGACCACCCAGUGCCCCCUAAGCAACCACAACGCAAUAAAAACCUCCCAGCGACACUUCUUGCAUUGUGGCAGUGAGUUUUACGUGGGGAAGCUGGGCUCACAUUUUCUUCAGACAAUGUUUAUUAAAAAAAAGUUUAUAUCGCUUUACAUUCCAUUUAUCUGCUCCGAUCUCUCUUUCAAUUCUCUCUUCUGCUCUCAGACCACCCGUCGUUUUUUUUCUACCAGUUUCCCGUUUUUGUUAUUCUCUUUCCCUUCGUCUCCGUCUUUCUCGCUUUCUCAGUCGGACAGUGUUCCUUCUGUGUUGUGACCUGGAUUCACAGUAACAGUAGAACGGAGCUAAAACAAAACCAGCCUCUGUAUGUGUGUGUGUGUGUGUGUGUGUGUGUGUGUGUGUGUGUUUAGACACGUCAACUGACUAAAUUUAUGUUUUCAUUGGCUUCAGGAAUUCGUAGGUGUUUUUGUCAGGCAAUGCGCAUAUUGUACAUUAGGAAGCAGGUUAAUAUUAUUUGCAUAACAUCCACAUGCUAGUCCAGUACUUGUCUGCAAUGUUAUCACCGCAGUGAUAUGUUUUCAUGCUAUUGCAUGCAAAUUACCCUGUGGUCACCAAUCCGAUCUCUUGUUUCUUUUACAGCUAUGCAAUUAAAUCUAUUUAUAAAAUUGAAACAUGAAAUGAAAAAUGAAAUAGUUUCCGAGACAUCUCAAAAAUGUCUCAAACUGUGCUCAGAUGUUCUCAGAUACUGUCAGAUGACUUGAAUAAGACACCAAAAGACAACUUUUUUCAUUUAAUUUUUUCCAAGGUUGAACCACCUAUGUUAAAUUAAUCUGCAUUCAUUCUGUAUGUCAGCAAUCUCACUUGUGACUGUUUUUACUUUUCCAGAGGAAUUUUAAUAGAAACAUUUGUUAAUACAUUAUAACAAACAGAAAAUCUCCAUUAAGUCUCCUGAGCCAUUUAGUAACACUCUCACAAGAAAGAGGAUGAGUGUGAUGAGUUUGAAAGCCUUAUAUCUAGUGGCAAACACAGGCUUGUAUGGACAAAGCUUCACAAUUGUAAUCAGUAGUUUUCAUGUACCGGGUUGCUCAGAUUUUUCUAAGAGGACUGAAUACAGGAAAGGUGCAGACGUUCUGUGCUUCUUCUGCCAAAAAAAUGUAUUAGGGAAGAAAAUAAUAGUGAUCUAUGUUAAAACUAGUCCCAAAUGUAUUUGUCGUGGCAAGAAGAAUUUAAGUGGGAAGUAUUAAUCAUGUGAUUCAACGUAAAAGACCAUUUACUAUUUUCAAAUAGGUUUCCGAAUAAAAAUGAGUAUUUUUGAGUCCCUGUACGCUUGGAGAAUGUAAUUAUAUACUUAUAAUUUGCAGUUAUCAGACACCAAGCAAAGAGACUACCAUUUUCUUUUCCCUUGACAUUCUUUUCAUAGGUGGGUGUGUGUGUGUGUGUGUGUGUGUGUGUGUGUGUGUGUUUGUGUGAGUGUGUUAUUCACACAUUUGUCUCUGCUGAAGUGUGCAAUAUGUGCUUUGGAGCUCCUGUGAAACAUUUGUUGUUUGGGGGCAAUAAGUGACAGAGAAGAGAGAGUGUUUAUUAACCAAAGACCUUCCAGCACGGUUUGACUGAUGGUUAGUUUUUGUUUAUAGCCGCAGUGCGCCAUCUGCUGGAGUUCAAUGUAAAUUAAACAAGUCUCUCUCAUUUAUAGCGAGUAUGAGACUGUCUUACAUCUAGUUCUAAUUAUUAUUGUUGUUAUUGUUAUUAUUAUUGUCAAACUUUAUAUUAGGCGGCCUUACCUACUAUGUAUUUACAUCAAAAAAUAAGUAGAAUGUAAAAACAUGUUUGUACACAUUAAGUGCAUUGUACUACAUUAUUCAUUUAAAUAUAAGUACACUGUAGUUAUAAAGUUAUUAAUAUUAUUAUUGGUAUUAUUAAUUAUAAUAAUAAUACUUAUUUUAGUAUUGUUAUGUGAAUACAUUGUGUAAAUUAUGUUUGGUCAUUCUUUCCCCUAACAGUUUUUUUCCUCACA